UACGUAGGGUGCAAGCGUUGUCCGGAAUUAUUGGGCGUAAAGAGCUCGUAGGCGGUUUGUCGCGUCGGAAGUGAAAGCCCACUGCUUAACGGUGGGUCUGCUUUCGGUACGGGCAGACUGGAGUGUGGCAGGGGAGACUGGAAUUCCUGGUGUAGCGGUGGAAUGCGCAGAUAUCAGGAGGAACACCGGUGGCGAAGGCGGGUCUCUGGGCCAUCACUGACGCUGAGGAGCGAAAGCGUGGGGAGCGAACAGG
rnacentral:rRNA from 1 species